rnacentral:rRNA from 1 species
UCCUGUACUACCGAUAACCGUUUGAGAGAAGGGAUGACACAGUAGGAUAAGCUAAGCACACUGUUGGUUAUGUGUGCCCAAGCAUUGAGGCAGUCAAAGUAGGCAAAUCCGCUUUGAUAAUGCUGGGAUGUGAUGGGGAGCGAAAUUUAGGAGCGAAGUAGCUGAUUUCACACUGUCAAGAAAAGUCUCUAUCGAGGUUAAAGGUACCCGUACCGCAAACCGACACAGGUGGGUGAGGAGAGUAUCCUAAGGCCAGCGAGAGAACUGUUGUUAAGGAACUCGGCAAAAUGACCCCGUAACUUAGGGAUAAGGGGUGCCACCAUCAGGUGGCCGCAGAGAAUAGGCCCAAGCGAC